AUUGAACGCUGGCGGCAGGCCUAACACAUGCAAGUCGAGCGGAUGAAGGGAGCUUGCUCCUGGAUUCAGCGGCGGACGGGUGAGUAAUGCCUAGGAAUCUGCCUGGUAGUGGGGGAUAACGUCCGGAAACGGGCGCUAAUACCGCAUACGUCCUGAGGGAGAAAGUGGGGGAUCUUCGUACCUCACGCUAUCAGAUGAGCCUAGGUCGGAUUAGCUAGUUGGUGGGGUAAAGGCCUACCAAGGCAACGAACCGUAACUGGACUGAGAGGAUGAUCAGUCACACUGGAACUGAGACACGGUCCAGACUCCUACGGGAGGCAACAGUGGGGAAUAUUGGACAAUGGGCGAAAGCCUGAUCCAGCCAUGCCGCGUGUGUGAAGAAGGUCUUCGGAUUGUAAAGCACUUUAAGUUGGGAGGAAGGGCAGUAAGUGAAUACCUUGCUGUUUUGACGUUACCAACAGAAUAAGCACCGGCUAACUUCGUG
rnacentral:rRNA from 1 species